AACGCGAAGAACCUUACCUGGUCUUGACAUCCACGGAAGUUUUCAGAGAUGAGAAUGUGCCUUCGGGAACCGUGAGACAGGUGCUGCAUGGCUGUCGUCAGCUCGUGUUGUGAAAUGUUGGGUUAAGUCCCGCAACGAGCGCAACCCUUAUCCUUUGUUGCCAGCGGUCCGGCCGGGAACUCAAAGGAGACUGCCAGUGAUAAACUGGAGGAAGGUGGGGACGACGUCAAGUCAUCAUGGCCCUUACGACCAGGGCUACACACGUGCUACAAUGGCGCAUACAAAGAGAAGCGACCUCGCGAGAGCAAGCGGACCUCAUAAAGUGCGUCGUAGUCCGGAUUGGAGUCUGCAACUCGACUCCAUGAAGUCGGAAUCGCUAGUAAUCGUGGAUCAGAAUGCCACGGUGAAUACGUUCCCGGGCCUUGUACACACCG
rnacentral:rRNA from 1 species